rnacentral:pre_miRNA from 1 species
CUUCUAUAUGAGAUGUGACUAUAAAGUAUUGAGACUGACUCUUGUGUUUGGCUGGUGGAAUCAAUCUCAUUUACUCUGUAGUCACAUCUCAUGUAAUA